UCGACGCUUCUUUUUCCACCGGAGCUUGCUCCACCGGAAAAAGAGGAGUGGCGAACGGGUGAGUAACACGUGGGUAACCUGCCCAUCAGAAGGGGAUAACACUUGGAAACAGGUGCUAAUACCGUAUAACAAUCGAAACCGCAUGGUUUUGAUUUGAAAGGCGCUUUCGGGUGUCGCUGAUGGAUGGACCCGCGGUGCAUUAGCUAGUUGGUGAGGUAACGGCUCACCAAGGCGACGAUGCAUAGCCGACCUGAGAGGGUGAUCGGCCACAUUGGGACUGAGACACGGCCCAAACUCCUACGGGAGGCAGCAGUAGGGAAUCUUCGGCAAUGGACGAAAGUCUGACCGAGCAACGCCGCGUGAGUGAAGAAGGUUUUCGGAUCGUAAAACUCUGUUGUUAGAGAAGAACAAGGAUGAGAGUAACUGUUCAUCCCUUGACGGUAUCUAACCAGAAAGCCACGGCUAACUACGUGCCAGCAGCCGCGGUAAUACGUAGGUGGCAAGCGUUGUCCGGAUUUAUUGGGCGUAAAGCGAGCGCAGGCGGUUUCUUAAGUCUGAUGUGAAAGCCCCCGGCUCAACCGGGGAGGGUCAUUGGAAACUGGGAGACUUGAGUGCAGAAGAGGAGAGUGGAAUUCCAUGUGUAGCGGUGAAAUGCGUAGAUAUAUGGAGGAACACCAGUGGCGAAGGCGGCUCUCUGGUCUGUAACUGACGCUGAGGCUCGAAAGCGUGGGGAGCAAACAGGAUUAGAUACCCUGGUAGUCCACGCCGUAAACGAUGAGUGCUAAGUGUUGGAGGGUUUCCGCCCUUCAGUGCUGCAGCUAACGCAUUAAGCACUCCGCCUGGGGAGUACGACCGCAAGGUUGAAACUCAAAGGAAUUGACGGGGGCCCGCACAAGCGGUGGAGCAUGUGGUUUAAUUCGAAGCAACGCGAA
rnacentral:rRNA from 1 species